rnacentral:rRNA from 1 species
GACGAACGCUGGCGGCGUGCUUAACACAUGCAAGUCGAACGGAAAGGCCCUGCUUUUGUGGGGUGCUCGAGUGGCGAACGGGUGAGUAACACGUGAGUAACCUGCCCUUGACUUUGGGAUAACUUCAGGAAACUGGGGCUAAUACCGGAUAGGAGCUCCUGCUGCAUGGUGGGGGUUGGAAAGUUUCGGCGGUUGGGGAUGGACUCGCGGCUUAUCAGCUUGUUGGUGGGGUAGUGGCUUACCAAGGCUUUGACGGGUAGCCGGCCUGGGAGGGUGACCGGCCACAUUGGGACUGAGAUACGGCCCAGACUCCUACGGGAGGCAGCAGUGGGGAAUAUGGCACAAUGGGCGGAAGCCUGAUGCAGCAACGCCGCGUGCGGGAUGACGGCCUUCGGGUUGUAAACCGCUUUCGCCUGUGACGAAGCGUGAGGGACGGUAAUGGGUAAAGAAGCACCGGCUAACUACGU